UAGACAAAAGGAGAACCGCCGUGGGUAUCGCGUGGCCACCGCAGCGAUGCGUGUCGCGCUGUGGCACCUCAUUUCUGGACCAGGGCGCACGUGCAUAACUCAGCGUCCCAAUUCAGAACCGCCGAUUUGCGGCAUUACCUGCGCGCUUCUGCAGCUUUUUGUAUUCGCCGUGGCACACGCGCAAGAGUGGUCCUGUAGGUACACUUCUUAUGGAGAAAUUGUCUGUAGGAAACAGCUCACGCAAACAGAGGCGAAUAUGAGGAGCCCGAAGACAUCACAGAAUACCGUCCUACACACGGCGAAGCAGUUUGUCCCGCAAUAUAAUCAGACAAAGGCCAACAACUUACCGAGGGCAAAAUAUCGUAAACUCUCUCGGUGCAUUGGAGGCUGCCCGAUCAUUGAUCAAGCCAAGCACCCUCGUGAAGACAAUGAGUACGGGAGGCUAGCACACUACUUCGGCGAGUUAUUACAACGUGCAAUAUUUGAGAGCUCACAGCAAAACGUUGAUGAAACAAAUAGGGCUCCGCGAAUUCCUGAACAAUAUGCAACUGGCAGGCAAAGCGACAACAGCCAUAUACCCGGCGAACAUGCUGCCACCUUGCUGCGACAUCAAUUUUUGCCCUCAUCUGAAAGUCUGCUGGAGCAGAAAUUAUGGUUUCAAAAGGGCACUAACAGAAUGCAGAUGCAGUGCACCCAACAAAUAUUGAAGACAAUAGCUCCGCACGUGCUCCACCGUCUCGCUCAGUGUAACGGAAGACAGGAAGUUAGUGCAGCCGCACUAAAAGCUAAAAUCACCCAACACCAUGAGCACCAACAAGCUGUUCAGGACGAAGAAGGCGCUUCGCACUGGCCGCCUAAUGUAGCCUUGGAGUGGGAACAUAUCCCAACUCAGGAUGAACUAUUAAAUACAAAUGCAGCUAUGAAAAAGACAGGCAAAGCCACUUUUGAAAAAAAAAUACAGCAGCGCUACAAACCUAAUUUCCUACAUACAAGACCACAGCAAGAGGCUAUAGUAAAAAUAAUAGCAAAUAUUAUUAUUAGUUACAUUCGUAAGCGACCCAACGCUGAAGAAAUUGACGCGCGAAAGAUGCCUGCAGCUCAAAUCGAAUACCAGAGCAAGUCAAAAGGCGGCGCUCAAUCGGACCUGGAAGCGAGAAGUCACAGGGGGGCACCCAUACCGUAUGAAACACAGCACAAGUUUCCAGCUCUGCGAGAGUCCAGCGAAAAAUCCGGCGAUUCGUUGCCCACAUUUCAUAUGCCAAUGCUAACAAGAGAUACUGAAAAAAUACGUAAGCCAGAGGAAGCAACGAAAAGUGAAAUUGCUAACGCAAAUGUUGUACCGGCACUAAAGCCUUUUCAUCAGCCAUUCAGAGGAUCUUCUCACGUUGUGUAUAACCGCGAGCCAGCGCUGAAUCAUCAACGUGUUUGGCAGGAAGGACUACUAAAUUGGACGCCCAAACAUGACGUGAUGCGUCAUUAUGGCGCCAACGCUCAAAAUAAGGCACAGUUGCGCAGUAUGAAUAGUACAACGGCAAAUCAGUCUGCGCAACGCUUUGUUAAACAGACUGUGCAAGCCAACUCGCAAUACGGGCAUCAGCAAAGAACAGAUAUUGGGCGCAAAAAGUUUUUGCUUUUUCCAGUGCAUGAAAAAUCUGGUGGGGAAACCUUAGGAGGUUUUCUUCCGUCUCCUCACCGGCAGCACAAACACAAACCUAACGACUUGAAAGCAGCAAAGCAGCAAUUCGGCAAAAAUUUGUUUUUGAAUAUUCCAAAAGAACAAAAACAUGAACGUGUAGUAAUGGAGCGCCAAGAAAAUUCAGUAGAACUGUCGGAGAAGAAGAACAUGCAAGAAAAUAGGAUUACUGGCUCACAGGGCGCAAAAGGGAUGCGAUCAGGUUUGACGAAGGAAGUGAGAAAAGUAACCCGUAACAAGCAGUCGAAGCGCCUACGGUUUCAGAAGCUGACUAUAGGGAACCUACCUAAUGCCCACUCCAAAACAAUUUUUAGGCCACAACGUAGAUUGGUUUUGCGCCCGUCACUGAAUGAAGGUAUUUUUCAUAACGCACCAAGAGCUAUGGAAGCAGAUUUCCAGGACUACAGCAAAGUCUACUUAAGACCAUUUGCACAGCGAAUAAUUGUUCCUAUUCCAGUCAUGGGACCAAGCCCGGCCAACGAAAAACAAUUUACUUGGCAGGGCACACAAAAUGCGAUUUUCACUCAUUCACCGCAGAAGGUUAGUGAUCACAACUAUAGACCACUCGCAGCAGCCAACAAGCAAAAUAAUUUAGCUUUUAAACACCAAACAGCCCCUUUCAUACACCUAAAGCCGCGGCCAACCAAUGUGGAGAGAAAAGCAUCCAAAGAAAAGGCGAUAGUUCAGAAAAAGGGUACGCAACAAAAGCAAACAACUGUUAUAGACGAGAGCCAAUAUUCAAUCUCUCAGCAAAAGCCAAUGCCAUUUGCUGGAACUACAAAACGACAACGCACAGUUUUUAACAGUCGGAUUAACUCUGUAGGGCAUCAUCGAUCGUAGACUUCUGUACCAAGUUUUAACCUAAGAGCGCCUAAUGUGCAGCAGUCUACAUUGCUCCACAAAGAAAGAUUCAUACCAUGAAACACCAGUCAACCAUUCAAUAAGCAGCGGUCACCUGACAUCGCACAAGUUAGGGGUCAGCGUACGCCGAUUCUGAACCAAGAAAAUAAUUCUGCGAUAGAUAGUUUUAAAAGAACAAUGGUUUCAAAAACCAGCGCAAGGAUCGAUGCCGCGUAAGUCAGCUUUAGGCUAUGAAGUAUCCAAAGUUGUUCAUCCUACAUAUAUGUUUAUGUGGGCCAGCUGAUAACUAAGCACGAUCCAUCACCAGUGGAAUAAUCAACUGUAGGUUUUAACGCCCUAAGGUUUUUGUGACCAGCAAGCCAUUAGAACACGUGAAAACAACAAAACCAGUACAGGUCCACAAGCCAACGUUGCAGGAACGAGAGAAAUAUCGAUUAAGUAGAUUCUAGCAACUACUUAAUCUAAUGCAAGCUGUAGGCGACAUGCAUCCUACAGCUUGCAUUAGAAUAACUUCAUUAAGGAGAUAAAAACUAUUUCAGUUAUAACUGGCCUUCUCUCCUCUAAGUAGUCAUGGCACUUAUCAGCAGUUAUUUCCCGUGGAUCGUCGUGAAACAAUGCGUUUUUGUCGAGCGCAGAAUAAAUGCGAUCAUUUUGAAUGUUCCGAAUAAUGACUUAUUUAUUUCUUCGGACGAAAACCUUACCUCCGAUUUCUAGUUCUUGCUCUGCCGUAUAGGAUGAACACAUCCACUGUU